CGGGGCGUAGCUCAAUCGGCUAGAGCGCCUGCUUUGGGAGCAGGAGGUUCUGGGUUCAAGUCCCAGCGCCCCGA
rnacentral:tRNA from 2 species